CCAGACUCCUACGGGAGGCAGCAGUGGGGAAUAUUGCACAAUGGGGGGAACCCUGAUGCAGCGACGCCGCGUGGGUGAAGGAGCACCUCGGUGCGUAAAGCCCUAUCGGCAGGGAAGAAACAGACGGUACCUGACUAAGAAGCCCCGGCUAACUACGUGCCAGCAGCCGCGGUAAUACGUAGGGGGCAAGCGUUAUCCGGAUUCACUGGGUGUAAAGGGAGCGUAGACGGUUGUGCAAGUCUGAAGUGAAAGCCCGCGGCUCAACUGCGGAACGGCUUUGGAAACUGUGUAACUGGAGUGCUGGAGAGGUAAGCGGAAUUCCUGGUGUAGCGGUGAAAUGCGUAGAGAUCAGGAGGAACACCGGCGGCGAAGGCGGCUUACUGGACAGUAACUGACGUUGAGGCUCGAAAGCGUGGGGAGCAAACAGGAUUAGAUACCCCGGUAUG
rnacentral:rRNA from 1 species